rnacentral:rRNA from 1 species
AUGCUUGUUUCGUGGGAGGUGUGGAAUGAACGCAAUGCGAGAGUUUAUAGGAGCAUUUCAUCUAAGCCAAGUGUAAAAAUUGGUAACAUUACGGAGGAGGCCAUACUAUGGGUUGUAGCGGGCGCCAAGCCUUCGUGUUGGAUCAUGCCACUAGAGUAA